rnacentral:lncRNA from 1 species
UUUAAAAUUUAAACUUCAACAUUUUAUAUUCUAAAUUUAAAUUUAAAUUUUAAAUAAUAAAAUAUUUUAAAAUUUAAAUAUUUAAUUAUUUAUUUUGAUUUUUCUUCGUAAAUUUUUCGCUGCGAAGCGCCGGCCUUCACUCGUCUAUAUUUAUUUUAUUUUUCAAAAUAAUCUAAUUUUUAUUUAAAUAUAAAAUUAGUCUAAACCGUUCUUAUUUAUAAUCGAACCAAGCGCAACCUAACGGCUUUCUUCUCUCCCAAAAACCCUAAUAAAACCUAAUCUCCUCUCCCCGACUCCGUC